CUCUUAAAAUAUUUUAAGUAAUCUCUGCCCUAUGAAUAAUUUUAAUGGCCGCAGUAUCUUGACUGUGCAAAGGUAGCAUAAUCAUUUGUUUUUUUAUUGAAAACUGGCAUGAAAGAGGCGACGAAAUAUAAUCUUUUAUUUUUAUAAAAUAAAAUUGACAUAAAGGUUAAAAGGCCAUUUAUACCCCAAAGGGACGAUAAGACCCUAUAAAACUUUACUUUUUAAUAAAAAUAUUGAUUAGGCAUAAUUUUUUAUACUAGAGUUGGGCUGGGGCGGUAAAAAUAAAAACUACUAAUAUAUAGAAUAUACAUAUAUAGCUUAAUAGGACUUAAAUAAAAUAUAGAACAAGUUACUUUAGGGAUAACAGCAUAAUUCUUUCAGAUAGUUCUUAUUGGCGAAAGAGUUUAUGACCUCGAUGUUGAAUUGGAAGUCC
rnacentral:rRNA from 1 species